UAGACCUUAAAUGUGAACUAGCUAGACUACGUGACCUUGUAUAUGAUCUGGAAUAAGAUCUACUCCUAGAAGAUCUGCUCCUUGACCUUGACUUGGAACUAGAUCUGGAUUUCGAUCUACUUCGAGAAUGUGAGGACUUCGAUGCAGUCUUUGAUCUUGAGCUUCCUCUAGAGUAGGACCGUGGUCUGUAUGCUCGUAAUCUCUGCAUUUCCUCUUUCCAGUGAGGAGGUGUUUCACUGCUGUCAUCAUCAUCUGACUCAGAACAGGAUCUUGACCUUGGAGAUUCCAGAACUGCCACUCAAGGUGCCAUAUGAGGAGUUGUGAUAACAGAGUAAAAGGCAGGAGCCAUCCUUCAGAAGCCAUCAGCAAGCUCUAUGACCAUCAGAGCUAUUAUCUGUGAUUAUAUACAUAACCUGAAGAUAGUAUAUUACACUUUUUUACUACCUUCAACUACAAAAGGAUUUGGGCUCGUAAAACAUAGUUUCAAAGAUUUUUCUUUUAUCAGCCACCAUCUCCAUUUUUACCUAUUCCUCCAAUAAAUGCAAGAAUAUGUUUUAUUUUGAAA